rnacentral:rRNA from 1 species
CCUACGGGAGGCAGCAGUAGGGAAUCUUCCACAAUGGACGAAAGUCUGAUGGAGCAACGCCGCGUGAGUGAAGAAGGGUUUCGGCUCGUAAAACUCUGUUGUUAAAGAAGAACAUAUCUGAGAGUAACUGUUCAGGUAUUGACGGUAUUUAACCAGAAAGCCACGGCUAACUACGUGCCAGCAGCCGCGGUAAUACGUAGGUGGCAAGCGUUGUCCGGAUUUAUUGGGCGUAAAGCGAGCGCAGGCGGUUUUUUAAGUCU